rnacentral:tRNA from 1 species
GGAGGCCUAGCAAAGCGGUCGUACUGCGCUUGUCUUGAAAACAAGUUGUUCGAAAGGACACGGGGGUUCGAAUCCCUCGGCCUCCGCCA